UACGGAGGGGGCUAGCGUUGUUCGGAAUUACUGGGCGUAAAGCGCGCGUAGGCGGACCUGCAGGUCGGGGGUGAAAGCCCGAGGCUCAACCUCGGAACUGCCUUCGAUACUGCGGGUCUCGAGUCCGGGAGAGGUGAGUGGAAUUCCUAGUGUAGAGGUGAAAUUCGUAGAUAUUAGGAAGAACACCAGUGGCGAAGGCGGCUCACUGGCCCGAUACUGACGCUGAGGUGCGAAAGCGUGGGGAGCAAACAGG
rnacentral:rRNA from 1 species